AAAGCCGGGGAGCUGCUAAGAAGGUUAAAAGAAUCAAUUUAUUGGUGCAUUUUGUCAAAAUUUUGAUAAUAUUUAACAAUGGAACGAUGCGAAGAAAAAGCAAAACUCAUCUUUAAUGUUUUUUUUUAUUUUUAUUAUUUUUUAAUUUAAA